CAGCAGCCACGGGAACACAGAGGGUGCAAGCGUUAAUCGGAAUUACUGGGCGUAAAGCGCGCGUAGGUGGUUUGUUAAGUUGGAUGUGAAAGCCCCGGGCUCAACCUGGGAACUGCAUCCAAAACUGGCAAGCUAGAGUACGGUAGAGGGUGGUGGAAUUUCCUGUGUAGCGGUGAAAUGCGUAGAUAUAGGAAGGAACACCAGUGGCGAAGGCGACCACCUGGACUGAUACUGACACUGAGGUGCGAAAGCGUGGGGAGCAAACAGGAUUAGAUACCCGCGUAGUCCCUGUCUCUUAUAC
rnacentral:rRNA from 1 species